rnacentral:lncRNA from 1 species
UCCAAGCUAUUAUACAAAAGAAGAUGUCCACGAACUUGGCGACUAACUAGAGGCCUUAAUUCGGCAACUCGAAUAGAACCUGCCCGCUUAGCCGAACCUUGAUUUCACUCGAUGAAUUGAAGUGAUAGAAAUAGAGGGUGGUUCAUGGUGGUUUAAAAUCGAUAUCAGGAAUUAGUUUAGUUGGUUUUCGGAUCUAUUAUUGCUGGGUUUGAUGACCGUUUUUGACAGGUUUUUGGGAUCGUUUUUGGGACUCGUUAUUGCUGUGUUUUUUACUGUUUUGGAGUUGAAUUUCAGCUGGAUUUAAGGUGUUUUUGGUAGCAUUUUUGGAACAUUUUGGGCCUCAACAGUUGUUGGUUUGUACUGGUUCAUUUCUGGGGUUUUCUUGGGGUGAAGUGAGGUUGAUUUGUAGUGGAGGAGCAGCAACAUUUUUGUGAAGAUGAAGAAGCAGCAGGGCUGCUUGCUGUUGAAGAAGAAAGGAGUCACGUUGCCUCUUAUUGUAUCUUUGUGUAUGUCUCUUUAAUUUUGGAGAAAGAGAGACGGUUGUUUUCUCUCAAAGAUGAGAGAUCAUCAUAUUGUGGG